rnacentral:rRNA from 1 species
UACAGAGGUCUCAAGCGUUGUUCGGAUUCAUUGGGCGUAAAGGGUGCGUAGGCGGCGCGGUAAGUCGGGGUGUGAAAUCUCGGAGCUUAACUCCGAAACUGCAUUCGAUACUGCCGUGCUUGAGGACUGGAGAGGAGACUGGAAUUUACGGUGUAGCGGUGAAAUGCGUAGAUAUCGUAAGGAAGACCAGUGACGAAGGCGGGUCUCUGGACAGUUCCUGACGCUGAGGCACGAAGGCCAGGGGGAGCAAACGGGG